rnacentral:rRNA from 1 species
GACGAACGCUGGCGGCGUGCUUAACACAUGCAAGUCGAACGGAAAGGCCCUGCUUUUGUGGGGUGCUCGAGUGGCGAACGGGUGAGUAACACGUGAGUAACCUGCCCUUGACUUUGGGAUAACUUCAGGAAACUGGGGCUAAUACCGGAUAGGAGCUCCUGCUGCAUGGUGGGGGUUGGAAAGUUUCGGCGGUUGGGGAUGGACUCGCGGCUUAUCAGCUUGUUGGUGGGGUAGUGGCUUACCAAGGCUUUGACGGGUAGCCGGCCUGAGAGGGUGACCGGCCAAAUUGGGACUGAGAUACGGCCCAGACUCCUAAGGGAGGCAGCAGUGGGGAAUAUUGCACAAUGGGCGGAAGCCUGAUGCAGCAACGCCGCGUGCGGGAUGACGGCCUGCGGGUUGUAAACCGCUUUCGCCUGUGACGAAGCGUGAGUGACGGUAAUGGGUAAAGAAGCACCGGCUAACUACGUG